rnacentral:rRNA from 1 species
GAUGAACGCUAGCGGCAGGCUUAAUACAUGCAAGUCGUGGGGCAGCAUGAAGUAGCAAUACUUUGAUGGCGACCGGCAAACGGGUGCGGAACACGUACACAACCUUCCUUUUAGUGGGGAAUAGCCCAGAGAAAUUUGGAUUAAUACCCCGUAACAUAGCGAUGUGGCAUCACAUUGCUAUUAUAGCUUCGGCGCUAGAUGAUGGGUGUGCGUAUGAUUAGAAUGUUGGCGAGGUAACGGCUCACCAAGUCUACGAUCAUUAGCUGAUGUGAGAGCAUGAUCAGCCACACGGGCACUGAGACACGGGCCCGACUCCUACGGGAGGCAGCAGUAAGGAAUAUUGGUCAAUGGACGAAAGUCUGAACCAGCCAUGCCGCGUGAAGGAUUAAGGUCCUCUGGAUUGUAAACUUCUUUUAUAUGGGACGAAAAAAGGUCUUUCUAGAUCACUUGACGGUACCAUAUGAAUAAGCACCGGCUAACUCCGUGCCAGCAGCCGCCGUAACAC